CACGCCCUAAACGAUGUCAACUGGUUGUUGGGAAUUCACUUUCUCAGUAACGAAGCUAACGCGUGAAGUUGACCGCCUGGGGAGUACGGCCGCAAGGUUAAAACUCAAAGGAAUUGACGGGGACCCGCACAAGCGGUGGAUGAUGUGGUUUAAUUCGAUGCAACGCGAAAAACCUUACCCACCUUUGACAUGUAUGGAAGAGCGCAGAGACGUGAUUGUGCUCGAAAGAGAGCCAUAACACAGGUGC
rnacentral:rRNA from 1 species